AGGCUCUGGGUCACCUCCCACCCGUGUUUAUUGUACCUUGUUGCUUCGGUGCGCCCGCCUCACGGCCGCCGGGGGGCUUCUGCCCCCGGGUCCGCGCGCACCGGAGACACCAUUGAACUCUGUCUGAAGAUUGCAGUCUGAGCAUAAACUAAAUAAGUUAAAACUUUCAACAACGGAUCUCUUGGUUCCGGCAUCGAUGAAGAACGCAGCGAAAUGCGAUAACUAAUGUGAAUUGCAGAAUUCAGUGAAUCAUCGAGUCUUUGAACGCACAUUGCGCCCCCUGGUAUUCCGGGGGGCAUGCCUGUCCGAGCGUCAUUGCUGCCCUCAAGCACGGCUUGUGUGUUGGGCUCCGUCCCCCCGGGGACGGGCCCGAAAGGCAGCGGCGGCACCGAGUCCGGUCCUCGAGCGUAUGGGGCUUUGUCACCCGCUCUGUAGGCCCGGCCGGCGCCAGCCGACAACCCAUCAUCCUUUUCAGGUUGACCUCGGAUCAGGUAGGGAUACCCGCUGAACUUAAGCAUAUCAAUAAGCGGAGGA
rnacentral:rRNA from 1 species